rnacentral:rRNA from 1 species
UGCUGUGAGCUCGAUGAGUAGGGCGGGACACGUGGUAUCCUGUCUGAAUAUGGGGGGACCAUCCUCCAAGGCUAAAUACUCCUGACUGACCGAUAGUGAACCAGUACCGUGAGGGAAAGGCGAAAAGAACCCCGGCGAGGGGAGUGAAAAAGAACCUGAAACCGUGUACGUACAAGCAGUGGGAGCACCUUCGGGUGUGACUGCGUACCUUUUGUAUAAUGGGUCAGCGACUUAUAUUCUGUAGCAAGGUUAACCGUAUAGGGGAGCCGGAGGGAAACCGAGUCUUAAUUGGGCGUUAAGUUGCAGGGUAUAGACCCGAAACCCGGUGAUCUAGCCAUGGGCAGGUUGAAGGUUGGGUAACACUAACUGGAGGACCGAACCGACUAAUGUUGAAAAAUUAGCGGAUGACCUGUGGCUGGGGGUGAAAGGCCAAUCAAACCGGGAGAUAGCUGGUUCUCCCCGAAAGCUAUUUAGGUAGCGCCUCGUGAAUUCAUCUCCGGGGGUAGAGCACUGUUUCGGCUAGGGGGCCAUCCCGGCUUACCAACCCGAUGCAAACUGCGAAUACCGGAGAAUGUUAUCACGGGAGACACACGGCGGGUGCUAACGUCCGUCGUGAAGAGGGAAACAACCCAGACCGCCAGCUAAGGUCCCAAAGUCAUGGUUAAGUGGGAAACGAUGUGGGAAGGCCCAGACAGCCAGGAUGUUGGCUUAGAAGCAGCCAUCAUUUAAAGAAAGCGUAAUAGCUCACUGGUCGAGUCGGCCUGCGCGGAAGAUGUAACGGGGCUAAACCAU